rnacentral:rRNA from 1 species
UACGUAGGGGGCAAGCGUUAUCCGGAUUUACUGGGUGUAAAGGGAGCGUAGACGGCAGCGCAAGUCUGGAGUGAAAUGCCGGGGCUCAACCCCGGAAUUGCUUUGGAAACUGUGCAGCUAGAGUGCGGGAGAGGUAAGCGGAAUUCCUAGUGUAGCGGUGAAAUGCGUAGAUAUUAGGAGGAACACCAGUGGCGAAGGCGGCUUACUGGACCGUAACUGACGUUGAGGCUCGAAAGCGUGGGGAGCAAACAGG